rnacentral:rRNA from 1 species
UACGUAGGUGACAAGCGUUGUCCGGAUUUACUGGGCGUAAAGAGCGCGCAGGCGGUCGUUCAAGUCGAGUGUGAAAGACCCCGGCUCAACUGGGGAGGGUCGUGCGAAACGGGUGAACUAGAGGCCAGUAGGGGGAUGCGGAAUUCCGGGUGUAGUGGUGGAAUGCGUAGAGAUCCGGAGGAACACCAGCGGCGAAGGCGGCAUCCUGGACUGGUCCUGACACUCAGGAGCGAAAGCGUGGGGAGCGAUCCGG